AAAUAUUAUCGGAUUAGUAACUAUACACUUAAGUUAUUGGAAUAGAGAGAAAGAGCAAACGGAGGCGGCACAGAAGAAAAGAAAAGAAAAAGGGCAUGUAUAGAGGGAAUUGGCUUACUGCGGAGGUUAGUUCUUGUUAUGAAUUGUUUAAGAAAAAAAAAAGUUGCUAAUAGUUAAACCAAUUAAAAAAUUUAACCAAGUAUAACUUGGCAAUGAUGGUUGUAGGUUAGUGUAGUGGUCAUUGUCAAUGUUUGGCAGAAAGAUUCAUAAAGUACAAAUAUUAUAUGAAUUGGAAUUGUAACUUAGCCAAUCACAGGUGCCAACAAAGAACCAGGUAAUUAUUUUCUAUAUAUUAGUUUUCUAAAUAUUAAUUCAUAGACAACGAUUACAGAUUAUUAUUAUUUAUGUAAUUCUGUAAUUGUUUCAUAUUUUAGGAUUAAGAAACUAAGGUUUAGGUUUAAGAUUUUUAGAGUAAAAAUUUAUAAAUGGAUGUUAUUAAAUUCGUACACUUAUGAAAAUUAUAUAUUUGAAUAGAUUUGAAACACUCGAAAGCUUUACGGAAGGAUAAGAUCCUUGAAAAGUAGCUUGCGUUCGGGUUCGUUGGUUGAGGUAGGCUACGGUUUAAUUGGAGUUUAGACUCGACUUAAUUGUGUGUAUGCUCCUAAAUUGGAUAUGUGUGGAUUGGUAUUUGGACAUGCUUGAAAUUGUUGAUGUUUGGAUUGUAGAUUCGUGUAUAAAUGUUUAUUGAAAAUUGACUUGAUGGAAUUGUCUUAUGACUUUAAGUGUACUUGUAAACUUGAUACAUUGUGUUGUAUGCUGUGAGGUUGUGUAAAUUGAUAUUAAUAAUACUUGUUUAUAUUUAUGUUGGAUCGGGUACCACGCCGGUACGUUUAUAUUUUUGUUGGAUCGGGUACCAUGCCGGUACGUUUAUAUUUAUGUUGGAUCGGGUACCACGCUGGUAAGUUUACAUUUAUGUUGGAUUGGGUACCACGCCAGUGCGUUUAUAUUUAUGUUGGAUCGGGUACCACGCCGGUACGUUUAUAUUUUGUUGGAUCGGGUACCACAUCGGUACGGUACAUGAACAUAGAUUGUUCCCUGCAGGUCAUGACUAUUUGGGCAAAAAAUAAGUUCCAUGGCAUGUGUGUACAUAUUUGUGUUAUUUAUGUGGAUGUUUACAGUAUGGUUGAUACUCCCGAUGGUUAUGUGGCUUGUUUGUGAGCACUGUUUGACCUGUUGUUGCUGUAUUGUUGAUUUAUUGAAUAUUUGUUGUGUAACGAUGUUUGUCUACUUGUUAUUUGAUUUAUGUUAUGUACAUGCUAUUAAAUUGAGUUGGCCUAUGAUACUUACUAGUACAUAGUGGUUUGUACUGAUACUACCGUGUACUCUUCUUUUGUUGAGUGUAAAAAGUGUUCUAGGCUCAGACAUAACCUCACCUCUAGAGUUUGAUAGCAGAUCUUGAUUCAAGGGUGAGCACUCCGUCUCCAGGCUGCCAUGGGUCAUCUUAUUUCUUCCUGUCCAUCUUUCGGGCAAUGAAACAUUCUUUAUUUACUUUAUUUUUGGAUAUCACUUUAGAUAUGAUCUUUGUUAGUAGUUCUUGUACAAUGACUUUCGGGUCUUGGAAAUUUUAGUAAGUAGUUUGUUUGAAUUUCCGCAUUAAUAAUGAUUAGUCCUGAAUUAUUGUUAUUAUGUUGAAUUUUAUAAUAAUAUCAUCUUAAUAUUGACUAAGUGCU
rnacentral:lncRNA from 1 species